GACCGAGGGUGCAAACGUUGCUCGGAAUUACUGGGCGUAAAGCGCGUGUAGGCGGGCCGGAAAGUCGGGCGUGAAAUCCCUGGGCUCAACCCAGGAACUGCACUCGAAACUUCCGGUCUAGAGUGGUGGAGAGGGAAGUGGAAUUCCUGGUGUAGGGGUGAAAUUCGUAGAUAUCAGGAGGAACACCAGUGGCGAAGGCGGCUUCCUGGACACCAACUGACGCUGAGACGCGAAAGCGUGGGGAGCAAACAGG
rnacentral:rRNA from 1 species